GCCAGCAGCCAUAUCACCCUGCAACUCACAACUGGCAAACCCAUGUAGCUCAGCAGGUGUGAGCUUGGCGUGUAUCUGGAUGGGUGACCUCCUGGGAAAACCUGAGGUUGCUGUUGGAA
rnacentral:rRNA from 1 species